rnacentral:lncRNA from 1 species
UAUUCCUCAUGAAUGUAAAAAUAAAAACUCUUAGCAAAGAGCUGCCUGGGUGGCUCAGUCAGUUAAGCAUCAGAUUCUUGGUUUCAGCUCAGGUCAUUACCUUGUGGUUGUGAGAUGGAGCCUCACAUGGGGCUCUGUGCUCAGCACACUCUACUUUAGAUUCUCUCUCCCUAUCCCGACCUGUUUGCUUCUCUUCCCAUUCGUGGUGCACUCUGUCUCUAAAAUAAGUAAAUAAAAUCUUAAAAAAAAAUUAGCAAAAUAUUAGCAGAUAUUGAAUCCAGUGAUAUAUGAAAAGAAUAAUGCAAGUGGGGUUCAUUCUAGGGAUAUAAGCUAAUUUUAGUAUCAAAAAAUUGAUUAAAAAUUAAUCAACGCAACCCAUAUUAAUGGCCGAAAGAAGAUACUCUACAUGAUCAUAUCAAUUGAUAGAGAAAAUUUAUUUGACAAAGGCCAACACUCAUUAUAAUGAAAACUCCCAGCAAACUAGGAAUAGAACUUCUUUAACAUGAGUAAAGGAUAUCUACAAAAACCAAUGGCUAACAUCAGAUUUAUAGUAAAAAGAACUGCUUUUCCAUCCAAAUAGGGAACAAGACAGGAUGCCCACUCUCAUUAUUCCUAUUCCACAAUGUCCUGGAUGUCCUACACAGUGGAAUAAAGCAAAAGAAAUAAAAAGCAUACAUAUUAUGUAGAAGUAAGACUUUGCCAAUUUUCAGAUGACAUGAAAUUAUGUACACAGAAAAUCCCAAAGAACCUAUAAAAGACCUCUUAGAAUUAAUAAAUGAGUAUGGUAAGACUGCAGGCUACAAAGUGAACAUCCAAAAUUAAUUGCAUUUCUAUAUACAAGCAAUAUACAAAUGGAAAUAAAAAUUUCAAAACACCUUUUAGGACAGCUCCACCCAAAAAAAAAAAAAAAAAAAAAAGAAGAUGAAGAAGAAAAGAAGAAGAAGAAGAAAGAAGAAAGAAGAAAGAAGAAGAAGAAAAAUGAAAUGCUUGCAUACAAGUCCAAGAAAACAGGUAUAGCAACUGUAUGCUAAGAACUAUAAAAUACAAAUGAAAGAAAUCAAAGCUCCUAUUAAAUGGAGACAUACUAUGUUUACUGACUGUAAGACCCAACAUAGUCAAGAUGUCAAUUUUUCUCUAAGAUGAUCUACAGAUUUGGUAGAUUGCAAAUAAAAUCUUGUGUUUCCCAUCAAACGACAUAUUAUGAAUAUUCUUCUCUAUCAAUAUGUAUUCUUCUAUAACAUUAUUUUAGAUAUUAGCAUAUUUUCCUUUUCUAGAUUUAUCCUAAAAUCAUUUAUCUCUUCCUUUGUAUUUUGAAAUUUAAGUUGUUUCCCAAUUUUAUCUAAUAUAGACAUGACUUUAGUGAAGACACCCUAAUGUAAUCCUUGCAAAUAUUUAUCUCUCUUUAAAUAGCUCUUUAAACAUGUACUUUUAUUUUUAAAACUUUUGAAAUAUAUCAUCAAAAUGACCUCAGGAAGGGUUUUUAUCCUCAAAUUCUGACCCAAAACUCAUCUCCUCUGGAAAACUCUGACUACUACCUUCCCAUUGUUCAUCUGUGUAAUUAUUUGGUCUCAUUAUUACUUUUAUAUGUAUUAGACCAUAUAAUAAACUAGGUGCUUUAAUAAGAAAGUAAGCCUCUAGGCUACCUGCUUACAAAGUACGUAUGUAUGUCUCAGAGGAAAUCUGAGAGAGAGAAAAUAUACAGGGUAAAGAUGAAUUUAAGAGCUGUGAAAUGGCUAACAGAGUUGGCAUAGAAGGACGGGGUACUGGGAACUAAGUAGGUAACACACUAUUUUCCAUGAAAAGAGCAUAUUCUAAUCAUUUUUAGAUUUUCCUACUGUUCUGGCUCAUGUGCUCAUUAAAAGGCAGCGGCUGCAGGUAGUGUUUGCAUUGUCUGUAUUAUCUUUGGAAUUAAGUGAAAAAAGCUCAAGCUGUGGAAAAUUAUGACAAAUUCUUCAUAUUCUCAAAAUUGAUUUGUACUCUCUCUAGAUUUCUAUCAUGCCUCAGUUAUAACAUGAAAUUAAAGGCUAACUGAUGUCUUCUGAUAGAAAAGUGUAAUAGUAAUUCAGACACAAUGCCUGUUGCAUUUUAUUCCACUUGUGAGAUACAAUAAGAAUAAAUAAAGUCUCAAACUAUGCAUUUUCAGAAUUUGAUAUUACUCACACACAAUUAGCUAAUACAAAUUAGGUCCAACACUGUGCAUGUAUCACUAAGAAAAAAUUAAUUAGCCCUGUUAAUUAUGAAUGUCAUCGGAAAGUCCAGCUGUGGGCACUCUGAUAGUGCUAUAACAAAUAGCAAUUUAGGAAGCAUUUGCUGAAAAUCACCACCUCUAUGCCUCAAAUAUAUGAUCUUAAAACAUGGCAGUCCCUGGUAUUGCCCGUUUCCUGCAAAUAUUAAGUAAAUAUGCUAUAAUAGGAGCAUAUUUUACAUAACCACACAUGUUGGACUAAAUCUGAGCCAAGAAUGAGGGAACGAAUGCUACUCAUAGCUGAUUUAUAUUUAGAGAUAUCAUAAGCUCCUGGUUUGAAUGCCUGCAUGCUAUUUCCAUGGCAACUGCAUAAACAUUUUUCCUCAUAGCACACAGCCAUCUUCAUUCUUUACAUCCCAUUAUUUAUUUUUUUCUACUCUCAGGAGGAAAGCCUAAUUUAUUCCCCGGGGGGGGGGGGGGGAGGAAAUCAAUGAUUUUCUUAAUCACUGGCAUUUGAAGAGUAGGUGGCAGUUCUUUUUAUGGAAAACAAUUUCCACCAACACUCUUGCUAGGUGAUAAAAGACUGGGGGAGAAUAAAGGGAGUACUUGUUUUAAGGAAAGUUGUGAGUACAAGUUGCGAUGAAUAAUCCUUCAAAAGAGAUGAGAAUGUACAUUAAAAACCCACAGAAGGUUGGCCAAAGUGAUCACAUGCAACUCCAACUUGCCUUCUCCAUGUGUGUGGAGUAGUCUCAUGGAGAUUCUUUUAUGGGAGAGUGAUCUUUCAUUCCCACAGUUUGACAGUCUUUGAAAAAACUCCUUUGCUUCUUUCCUUAUGUGAGAGAGACUGUACAAAAUGGCCAGCAACUGUGGGCAAGAGAAAGACUCCCCACUUUAAAGCAGAUCAAAUGACAGCUAAAAGGAAAGAUAAGAGGCAACCACAUCAGGUUCCUUCACUUUGCCUAUUCUGUGAGUCUGAGGUUCACAGAUUCAAAUGGCAGCAGAUGGAAGACAUCCCAUAUUGAAUUUUAGCUAUCAAAUUUACAAUAAUUUCUCAAAGUCCUCAAAGGGACAGUGAAUCAAUUAACAUUCUUCAGUAGACUCGGAGCUCACUCCCCUUCUCUGCGCUUCCUUGGCACCAACCAAUGUGACAGCACUUAUCAAUGUUCUGUAAUUGUUUAUGUAGGAUUCCCACAAGGGAUCUAUAUAAUGCCCCUCCAGUCUAACAUAGUGCUCUGUCAAUAGUAAGCCAGAGUAUUAAAUGAAUCUUUAUUUAUUCAUAAUGCAUAUACACAUUUCCUAUAACACAUAAUGCUUCUCAAAUGAUGAAACAAGUUUCCAAUAAUUCCCUCUACCAUUUUGAUGUUUCUAUUCUUACGGCAGUCUUAUUACUUUCUCUACUUCUACAAGGUCAAUCUCUUAACUAUCCUCUCUUUCAUUGACCUCUGAGGCCCUCAUCAAGGCAAGAGCCAAUGCCCUUUUGUUUCUUUCUGGUUUUGUUUUUAAAUACUCCAUACUAGGGGUGCCCAAGUGGCUCAGUCAGUUAAGCGUCUGCCUUCCGCUCCGGUCACGAUACCAGAGUCCUGGGAUUGAGUCCCAAAUUGGGCUAAAUGCUCAGCGGGGAACCUAUUUCUGCCUCUCUUUCUCUGCAGCUCCCCCUGCCUGUGCUCUUUCUCUCCCUCUCAAAUAAAUAAAUAGAUAAAUUAAUAAGUGAACAUUCAAUACUAUUCAUUUAAAAGAGUAA